rnacentral:tRNA from 1 species
GUUAAUGUAGCUUAACUAAAGCAAAGCACUGAAAAUGCUUAGAUGGAUAUUCUGAUCCCAUAAA